rnacentral:rRNA from 1 species
CCUACGGGAGGCAGCAGUGAGGAAUAUUGGUCAAUGGCCGGAAGGCUGAACCAGCCAUGCCGCGUGAAGGUCAGUGCCCUAUGGGCGUUAAACUUCUUUUGUGCGGGAGCAAUAAUGGUCACGUGUGACUAGUCGAGAGUACCGUACGAAUAAGCAUCGGCGAACUCCGUGCCAGCAGCCGCGGUAAUACGGGGGAUGCAAGGGUUAUCCGGAUUUUUUGGGUUUAAAGGGUGCGUAGGCUGUGAGGUAAGUCAGCGGUGAAAUGCCCCCGCUCAACGGGGUGAAGUGCCAUUGAUACUGGCUUGCUGGAGUGCGGAUGCGGUGGGAGGAAUGUGUGGUGUAGCGGUGAAAUGCAUAGAUAUCACACAGAACACCGAUUGCGAAGGCAUCUCACGAAUCCGCGAUUGACGCUGAUGCACGAAAGCGUGGGUAUCAAACAGGAUUAGAUACCCGGGUAGUC